rnacentral:rRNA from 1 species
CCUGGCUCAGGAUGAACGCUAGCUACAGGCUUAACACAUGCAAGUCGAGGGGCAGCAUUUCAGUUUGCUUGCAAACUGGAGAUGGCGACCGGCGCACGGGUGAGUAACACGUAUCCAACCUGCCGAUAACUCGGGGAUAGCCUUUCGAAAGAAAGAUUAAUACCCGAUGGCAUAAUUAGACCGCAUGGUCUUAUUAUUAAAGAAUUUCGGUUAUCGAUGGGGAUGCGUUCCAUUAGGCAGUUGGUGAGGUAACGGCUCACCAAACCUUCGAUGGAUAGGGGUUCUGAGAGGAAGGUCCCCCACAUUGGAACUGAGACACGGUCCAAACUCCUACGGGAGGCAGCAGUGAGGAAUAUUGGUCAAUGGGCGCAGGCCUGAACCAGCCAAGUAGCGUGAAGGAUGACUGCCCUAUGGGUUGUAAACUUCUUUUAUAUGGGAAUAAAGUUUUCCACGUGUGGAAUUUUGUAUGUACCAUAUGAAUAAGGAUCGGCUAACUCCGUGCCAGCAGCCGCGGUAAUACGGAGGAUCCGAGCGUUAUCCGGAUUUAUUGGGUUUAAAGGGAGCGUAGGUGGAUAGUUAAGUCAGUUGUGAAAGUUUGCGGCUCAACCGUAAAAUUGCAGUUGAUACUGGCUGUCUUGAGUACAGUAGAGGUGGGCGGAAUUCGUGGUGUAGCGGUGAAAUGCUUAGAUAUCACGAAGAACUCCGAUUGCGAAGGCAGCUCACUGGACUGCAACUGACACUGAUGCUCGAAAGUGUGGGUAUCAAACAGGAUUAGAUACCCUGGUAGUCCACACAGUAAACGAUGAAUACUCGCUGUUUGCGAUAUACAGUAAGCGGCCAAGCGAAAGCAUUAAGUAUUCCACCUGGGGAGUACGCCGGCAACGGUGAAACUCAAAGGAAUUGACGGGGGCCCGCACAAGCGGAGGAACAUGUGGUUUAAUUCGAUGAUACGCGAGGAACCUUACCCGGGCUUAAAUUGCAUUUGAAUAAUCUGGAAACAGGUUAGCCGUAAGGCAAAUGUGAAGGUGCUGCAUGGUUGUCGUCAGCUCGUGCCGUGAGGUGUCGGCUUAAGUGCCAUAACGAGCGCAACCCUUAUCUUUAGUUACUAACAGGUUAUGCUGAGGACUCUAGAGAGACUGCCGUCGUAAGAUGUGAGGAAGGUGGGGAUGACGUCAAAUCAGCACGGCCCUUACGUCCGGGGCUACACACGUGUUACAAUGGGGGGUACAGAAGGCAGCUACCUGGUGACAGGAUGCUAAUCCCAAAAGCCUCUCUCAGUUCGGAUCGAAGUCUGCAACCCGACUUCGUGAAGCUGGAUUCGCUAGUAAUCGCGCAUCAGCCAUGGCGCGGUGAAUACGUUCCCGGGCCUUGUACACAAGGCCCG